rnacentral:rRNA from 1 species
UGAGUAACCUGCCCUUCACUCUGGGAUAACUCCGGGAAACCGGGGCUAAUACUGGAUAUGACUCGAACAGGCAUCUGUUUCGGGUGGAAAGAUUUAUUGGUGGAGGAUGGACUCGCGGCCUAUCAGCUUGUUGGUGAGGUAAUGGCUCACCAAGGCGACGACGGGUAGCCGGCCUGAGAGGGCGAUCGGUCACACUGGGACUGAGACACGGCCCAGACUCCUACGGGAGCA